rnacentral:rRNA from 1 species
UACGUAGGGUGCAAGCGUUGUCCGGAAUUAUUGGGCGUAAAGAGCUCGUAGGCGGUUUGUCGCGUCUGCUGUGAAAACUCGGGGCUUAACUCCGGGCCUGCAGUGGGUACGGGCAGACUAGAGUGCGGUAGGGGAGACUGGAAUUCCUGGUGUAGCGGUGAAAUGCGCAGAUAUCAGGAGGAACACCGGUGGCGAAGGCGGUUCUCUGGACCGUACCUGACGCUGAGGAGCGAAAGCGUGGGGAGCGAACAGG